AGAGUUUGAUCCUGGCUCAGAACGAACGCUGGCGGCGUGCCUAACACAUGCAAGUCGAACGGAGAUAAGGGGCUUGCUCCUUAUUUUAGUGGCGCACGGGUGAGUAACGCGUGGAUAAUCUACCUUGGAAUCUGGGAUAACAUUUCGAAAGGGGUGCUAAUACCGGAUAAGACCACGAGCUCUUUGGAGUUUGCGGUAAAAGGGGGCCUCUGUAUAUGCUUCUGUUUCAAGAUGAGUCCGCGUACCAUUAGCUAGUUGGCAGGGUAAUGGCCUACCAAGGCGACGAUGGUUAGCUGGUCUGAGAGGAUGAUCAGCCACACUGGAACUGAGACACGGUCCAGACUCCUACGGGAGGCAGCAGUGGGGAAUUUUGCGCAAUGGGGGAAACCCUGACGCAGCAACGCCGCGUGAGUGGUGAAGGCCUUCGGGUCGUAAAGCUCUGUCAGAGGGAAAGAAGUGUAUGGCGGUUAAUACCCGUUAUACUUGACGUACCCUCAAAGGA
rnacentral:rRNA from 1 species